rnacentral:lncRNA from 1 species
AUGGCAAAUUUAAUGUUGUGUUUUUUACCACAAUUUAAUAAUGUCCCUAAAUGGGAAGGGGAGAUGGGACUUGUAAAUAAAGACCAGAAGAGGGAAUUCCCUGUUGGCCCAGUGGAUGAGACUCCACACUCCCAGUGCAGGAGGACCUAUUCAACCCCUCGCUGGGGAUCUCAGGUCCCACACACCACAACCCAGCCCCAGAGCCCCAGCUGGACAGGCCACAGUGAAGACACAGGGCUGCUAAAACAAGAGACAGAGGCUAGAAGAAGAAAAACAGCUUUGAAGACAAGCCACCAGCGGACACGCCCGACAGCCAAGAGAGCGACAGACCCCAGGCGCCAGCCCGACCCUCACCCACCCUUCACUGAGCCCCAGACGCUCCCCACCUGGGCCAGAGGGGCCGUUCAGAACCAAGACGGGACCUGGCCCUGGACAGGGUACCACCUCCCCCACCAGAGACAGGAGAGCCUGCAGCCCGUGCCGCUCCUACGCAGUCUCCCCAGAAGCACCCCCUUUCCUGACCCCGCUCCUGGACAGGACACUCAGCACCCAGUCCUCCCUGCCCACUCCCCACACCUGACCCCCGGCAGGGCUGCUCUAAGUCCUCCCCGCCCAUUCCCCACCCUCGGCAGGGCUGCUCUGACCACUGCUGUCACCUCAGGCCUCCCCACCCAACAGGGCGCGCCCCUACCCCUUAUGCAGGUUCGUCUGGGUGUCCACUCUCCCCCAGACACCGGGGGUGGGUGGGUGGGGGUGGCCCCCACCCGCCCCCAGCCCCAGGGCAGGCACGGGCACCGCAGUGGUCCUGGCUGUCGGACGAGUGGAGAAUCAGCCCCCACCCCGCCAAGCGGAGAGCCCGCUGCUCGGCCGCACUUGGCAGCCAGGACCCAGCUGAGGCCCCAGAGCUCACGGGCACCUCGUGGGCAGCGGCCACACCCACGGGGAGGGCACGGGUGGCCAGCUGGGCCCCGCCAACAGGGACUGUCUCCUACAUGCCACUCAGAGAUGAUCCUGCUCACCCGCACCUGGACUUCAGCGGGAUCGGGGAACACCCUCAAGCCACCUGGAGGGGCGUCUGGAGGGACUGUGGUCCUGACUAGUCAGCCACGCCCCCAGGCCAAGGUCGACCAGUGCAGAUAA